CCCUGUAGCUCAGUUGGUAGAGCUUGGUGUUUGCAACGCCAGGGUUGUGGGUUCAACUCCCACAGGGG
rnacentral:tRNA from 1 species